GACAGAGGUGCCAAGCGUUAGGCGGAAUCACUGGGCUUAAAGCGUGUGUAGGCGGAUUCCUAAGUACCUUGUGAAAUCCCACGGCUCAACCGUGGAACUGCUCGGUAUACUGGGUAUCUUGAGCCACUUAGGGGCGACCGGAACAACUGGUGGAGCGGUGAAAUGCGCAGAUAUCAUUUGGAACGCCAAUGGUGAAAACAGGUCGCUGGGAGUGUGCUGACGCUGAGACACGAAAGCCAGGGGAGCAAACGGG
rnacentral:rRNA from 1 species